ACUUGAGGACCUGACAAACUUUUAGCGUUAUGACUCCAAUAGCCUAUUUAUAUAGUUUUUUGCUACUUGUAACUAAAUGACUGCAUGCAAAGUGCAACUUGGAUGAUGAUAUCAAACACAUGGUGAGUCAUAAAACCAGCUCAAUCAGCCAGGCAAAUGAGAUUAACCGAGUGAUGUGUCUUUCAAGACUCUUUGAGGAAGUACCACAGUCCGCUCAUGUCAUGUUUCGCCGAUAAAGAAAUCCAAAAUGCAGGCGGUGGCAGAACAGCCCCUGGAUGUGUGUAAUGAUUAGUGAGGACUAUAACUCGAAGGCUCAAACUACCUGGGACAGAUGCCAAAUGCUGACAAAGGCAAUCAUUGCAUUCUCAGGGGUGAGCAAAACCAACGCUACGUCCUUUCGCGCUUGCUUUGGGAGGGUUAUUUAUAUUCCUCGAGAAACCACCGAAAGCAUUGACUAAUUGCUUAAGGGGUCGGUCACAUGCAUGGCUAAAGGGCAUGAAAAAUAGCGUAAGUAUUAACCUGUUCUGCUGUUCUUCACCUCUUCUACUGGGACCCGUUCAACUGAUCAAGUGCUUUCAUUGAAUAAUCAAUUCGGAGCCCUUGUUUUCUAGACUGUGUACUUGGAAAUACUGUAACUGGGAAAUAAGGUUACAAGCUGACCUUCUUGCAUUCCCGUAAAAACAAGUGUGUCACAUUUUGCGUACUAGUUUGUCACUGGGGGUAGCAAUAACUGUACCUUUCUGGGCACUUUGUGAUUUUCUGCAUUGCAAACCCUCUCGACUUGAUCUCUGAUUUGUUUUAUGUUACUCAAACUCCCUUUCUUUCUCCACCUCCUCUCUCCCUCUCUCAGUUUCUGUCUUUCACUUCGCAUCCUGUGCCAAAGUGGGCAGGGAGAAAGAGCUUGUGGUGAGGCGGGUGAAACGGAGGCCGCUGUAUGUGCUCUUUCUUCAGCCACAACCCCGAGGAAGAGCAUGUUUGGUGGUAGCACGUUUCUAGGUCUCUCUCCCCUAGAUAGGCGUAUUACGUGCGUGAGUCUUCUCUUCUCGCCGCCAUGACCCUGCCUUGUGUUCUUUGACGAUGAAGCCUCUAGUCUGCAGGAAUCCAGCGGUCUGCUUCCUGACUGGUGGACAUCUGCUCUGCUGUCCUUGGGGCUGAGGUAGUAGAUUGAAUAGUUGUGGAGCCCUGCGCUCUCUCUCUGAGAUAACUAUACAAUCUACUGUCUUUCCUAAGGUGACAGCCAAAUCAUCCACAAACACGUGUCUGUAUUCGUCCAAUGAGUCGCAAAGGAUAUUCGCUCAAGUUACAGAAAUAAAACGGGUUGGGACUGACGUGUCAUGUUGGCUUCAUUCAUACUCCAGCGUGUCAGGCGAUGGGAUUGGUGUCUUGACAGGGUGAGGUAGUAGGUUGUAUAGUUUGGUGGGAGGGAUCAAACCCUGUUCAGGUGAUAACUAUACAGUCUAUUGCCUUCCUUGUUGUGCCAACUAUCUGCCAGCUAGUGGAAAAUCCCUGGAGUUUAAAUAUUACUUAAACUUUACAGCCAGCUUCACGCCACAUUAACUAUGUAUGUGAACACAGUGUGUAAACAGUGUGCUUAUUUCAGCAUCCAUGUAUACACACUGCCUGCAAAAGCAGAAACAAUUACACCGUAGUCACCACAAGAUAUGUUGAAAAUACCCUAUAUAGACCUAUUUGUAGACUUUUAUUAAGAAGCAAAAUAAACAUGUUCUAUUCAGUAAAUCUGACUGAAUCAAGAUACUGUAAGUUCAUCUGCACUUAAUGCUUUUCGAUUCUGUUCUGGGUAGAUUAAUACAUAUUUAGAUAUGUACAGUAAAAGCUUGUGUAAAUUACACUAAGUACUUUUUUUUAAAGUGAAUUUCAGCAAAGACGCAUUUAAACGUCAACAAGACUUGUAUAGUGUUACAAAUGAUUUCUAUUACACAAAUGCUGUUCUGUAUCUUUUUCUACUAAAUCCUGAAUCAUGCAGAAACUAUUUUCUGUCAGAAAUUGCUGGUAAAUUUCAUAUUCAAAUUAAUAUUUUUAUUUUGAUAAUUGAUAAUAAGAAUUGGUAAUAAUCAGAAAUGUUUCUUGAGCAGCAAAUGAGCAUAUUACACUGAUUUCUGAAGGAUCACGUGACACUGAAGACUGGAGUGAUGAUGCUGACAAUUCAUCUGAUUCAAAUUUAUAUAUAUAUAUAUAUAUAUAUUAACUGCUUUAGAAUAAAAAUUCAUCCUAAGAGACUUCUUAUAAAUUCAAAAAGUAUUAAUAAAAAAAAAAAAAUCCAACUAACCUCAUGUUUGAACAGUAAUUUAAUGUCGAUCAAGUUUGUAAUUGCGUUGCGAGUGUGAAAGCACAGUGAGACUCUUACAGCUUUGUGUGUGUGUGAGUGUUUUGUGAAACAGGCCUAACACUUUACCUAACAAGCCUGAACAACAUCCAUGCCUCUCUUUCCAGCUUAACAUGCAGAUCUAGUAUAACAUAUGAGGAGAAAAACCAGAUUAAAAGAGAUUUAUGGAGCUCGGAUUUAUGGCUUAAUCAACAUUUUGACUUUUCUGUUGGCUUGUGAUCAAACAGGAUUUUCACACAUCAUAACAGGAAAUUCAGCUUCAAUCAGACAAUGCAUGUGGCCUUGUUCAGAGAAUCAAACAUACAUAAAGAACUGCACAUUAUGCCUAAAAUGAUUUUGUUCUAUGAAUAAAAUAGUUUUAUUCAACAAUA